rnacentral:rRNA from 1 species
UACGAAGGGGGCUAGCGUUGUUCGGAUUUACUGGGCGUAAAGCGCACGUAGGCGGAUAUUUAAGUCAGAGGUGAAAUCCCAGGGCUCAACCCUGGAACUGCCUUUGAUACUGGAUGUCUUGAGUAUGGAAGAGGUGAGUGGAAUUCCGAGUGUAGAGGUAAAAUUCGUAGAUAUUCGGAGGAACACCAGUGGCGAAGGCGGCUCACUGGUCCAUUACUGACGCUGAGGCACGAAAGCGUGGGUAGUGAACG